UCAUAUGCUUGUCUCAAAGACUAAGCCAUGCAAGUCUAAGUACAUGCUUUAACAAAGUGAAACCGCGAAUGGCUCAUUAAAUCAGUUAUGGUUCCUUAGAUCGUACCAUCCUACUUGGAUAACUGUGGUAAUUCUAGAGCUAAUACAUGCAGCAGAACUCGAACCUUCGGGGACGAGUGCUUUUAUUAGACCAAGACCAAUCGGGCUUCUGCUCGACAAUUGUGGCGACUCUGGAUAACUUUUGGCUGAUCGCACGAUCUUGUAUCGGCGACGUUUCUUUCAAGUGUCUGCCUUAUCAACUUUCGAUGGUAGGUUAUGCGCCUACCAUGGUCGUAACGGGUGACGGGGAAUCAGGGUUCGAUUCCGGAGAGGGAGCCUAA
rnacentral:rRNA from 1 species